AUGGGCGACCCGGAAAGGCCGGAAGCGGCCGGGCUGGAUCAGGAUGAGGUUUUUCAGGCAGAAAAUCCUUUUGAUUUUAUGGAAAACAUUUCUUUAGAAGGAAAAACAAAUUUCUUUGAGAAACGAGUUUCAGAGUAUCAGCGUUUUGCAGUUAUGGCAGAAACCACAGAUAACGUCUUCACCUUGGAUGCAGAUUUUUAA
rnacentral:lncRNA from 1 species